GUCUACGGCCAUGCUACCCUGAACGAAUUCGAUCUCGUCUGAUCUCAGAAGCUAAGCAGGGUCGGGCCUGGUUGGUACUUGGAUGGGAGAACACCUAGGAAGACCAGAUGCUGUAGGUG
rnacentral:rRNA from 1 species